GAUGAACGCUGGCGGCGUACCUAAUACAUGCAAGUCGAGCGAACAGACGAGGAGCUUGCUCCUCUGACGUUAGCGGCGGACGGGUGAGUAACACGUGGAUAACCUCCCUAUAAGACUGGGAUAACUUCGGGAAACCGGAGCUAAUACCGGAUAAUAUAUUGAACCGCAUGGUUCAAUAGUUAAAGACGGUUUUGCUGUCACUUAUAGAUGGAUCCGCGCCGCAUUAGCUAGUUGGUAAGGUAACGGCUUACCAAGGCGACGAUGCGUAGCCGACCUGAGAGGGUGAUCGGCCACACUGGAACUGAGACACGGUCCAGACUCCUACGGGAGGCAGCAGUAGGGAAUCUUCCGCAAUGGGCGAAAGCCUGACGGAGCAACGCCGCGUGAGUGAUGAAGGUCUUCGGAUCGUAAAACUCUGUUAUUAGGGAAGAACAAAUGUGUAAGUAACUAUGCAAGUCUUGACGGUACCUAAUCAGAAAGCCACGGCUAACUACGUG
rnacentral:rRNA from 1 species